GCUAACCCAAGCCCAUCCAACUACCAAAACAAAUAUUUCAUCAUCACUAAUCCAAAACAUUCACUUCUCUCAGUAUAGGUGAUAGAACAGUUAACUAGGCGCAAUAACGCAAGUACCGCAAGGGAAAAAUGAAAGAUCAGUUAAAGCACUAAAGAGCAAAGAUUAAAACUUUUACCUUUUGCAUAAUGAUUUAGCCAGCAAAAUCGGACAAAAAGAAUUACGCCCGCCUCCCCGAAAUCAAGUGAGCUACUAUAAGACAGUUGCCAGAACCAACUCGUCUAUGUAGCAAAAUAGUGAGAAGAUCUUAUAGUAGAGGUGAAAAGCCAAUCGAACUUGAUGAUAGCUGGUUGUCCAAAACACGAAUUUCAGUUCAACUUUAAAUUUAAUUAAAGUAUUAACUUAAACCAAACUUAAAUUUAAAAGCUAAUCAAAAGAGGGACAACUCUUUUGAUUAUGUAAACAAACUUUAUUAGAGGAUAAUGAAAACUAAAAAACAUUGUAGGCCUAAAAGCAGCCACCAAUUAAGAAAGCGUUAAAGCUCAAAUCUAAAACAAAACCUUAAUCCCAAAAAUCCUUCAAAAUCCCUAACACUGAAUAUUGGACGAUUCUAUAACCCUAUAGAAGACAUAAUGCUAAAGUAAGUAACAAGAAAUACUUCUCCCCGCACAAGCCUACAUUAGUAACGGAACAUCCACUAACAAUUAACAAAUUAAUAUUUAUACUUACAUAACCAGUCAAAUUAUUACAUCAAUUGUUAACCCAACACAGGAGUGCUUUUCAGGAAAGAUUAAAAAGAAUAAAAGGAACUCGGCWAAUACAAACCCCGCCUGUUUACCAAAAACAUCACCUCUAGCAUAACAAUUAUUAGAGGCAACGCCUGCCCAGUGAGCUAAACACUUUAACGGCCGCGGUAUCCUGACCGUGCAAAGGUAGCAUAAUCACUUGUCCCCUAAUUAGAGACUUGCAUGAAUGGCAUCACGAGGGUUUAACUGUCUCCUAUUCUUAAUCAGUGAAAUUGACCUUCCCGUGCAGAGGCGGGAAUACUAUUACAAGACGAGAAGACCCUGUGGAGCUUAAGAUUCAUAGUCCAACUCAACUGUAUUUCCACCCUAUUUAAGGAACAAAAACAGACCACUAGACUAUAACCUUCGGUUGGGGUGACCUCGGAGUACAAAACAACCUCCGAAUGAAUAAGCCCAGAUCCACUAAUCUAAGCGUCAUAGCACCAGUAAUUGAUCCAUAAAUUGAUCAACGGAACAAGUUACCCCAGGGAUAACAGCGCAAUCCUAUUCAAGAGCCCAUAUCGACAAUUAGGGUUUACGACCUCGAUGUUGGAUCAGGACAUCCAAAUGGUGUAGCCGCUAUUAAUGGUUCGUUUGUUCAACGAUUAAAGUCCUACGUGAUCUGAGUUCAGACCGGAGAAAUCCAGGUCGGUUUCUAUCUGUAUAUUUAUUCCUCCCAGUACGAAAGGACAAGAGAAAUAAGGCCUACGCUACUUAGUGCGCCUUAGAAACAAGAUAUGAACAAUCUCAAUAUCCUAAUUCAAUUGCUAUUCCCUCUAGAACAGAGCUA
rnacentral:rRNA from 1 species